rnacentral:ncRNA from 2 species
AUACCGCCUCCGGGGAGCGCGGCAAGCGCUGAGAGUGUGGUUCGCCCACAGACCCGCGGAACCUGAUCCGGUUCGUACCGGUGUAGGAAGAGGGCCGCAUGCGUCG